GCGGCAGGCUUAACACAUGCAAGUCGAGGGGUAACAGUCCCGCUUCGGCGGGAGCUGACGACCGGCGCACGGGUGAGUAACGCGUAUGCAACUUUCCUGUAACUGGAGGAUAGCCCCUGGAAACGGGGAUUAAUACUGCGUAAUACCUAAAUACCGCAUGGUAUUAAGGUCAAAUCUACGGAGGUUACAGAUGGGCAUGCGUGCCAUUAGCUAGAUGGUAAGGUAACGGCUUACCAUGGCAAAUGAUGGCUAGGGGUUCUGCAAGGAAGGCCCCCCACACUGGUACUGAGACACGGACCAGACUCCUACGGGAGGCAGCAGUGAGGAAUAUUGGUCAAAUGGAGGCAACUCUGAACCAGCCAAGCCGCGUGAAGGACGACUGUCCUAUGGAUUGUCAACUUCUUCUGUGGCAGAAUAAACCUACCGUACUUGUACGGUAUUGCAUGUAUGCCAUGAAUAAGCAUCGGCUAACUCCGUGCCAGCAGCCGCGGCUAUACGGAGGAUGCAGGCCGUUAUCCGGAUUCAUUACGUUUAAAGGGUGUACAGGCUGCCUGGU
rnacentral:rRNA from 1 species